GAUGAAGAACGCAGCGAAAUGCGAUACGUAAUGUGAAUUGCAGAAUUCAGUGAAUCAUCGAGUCUUUGAACGCACAUUGCGCCCCCUGGUAUUCCGGGGGGCAUGCCUGUCCGAGCGUCAUUGCUGCCCUCAAGCAUGGCUUGUGUGUUGGGCCUCCGUCCUCCUCCCGGGGGACGGGCCCUAAAGGCAGCGGCGGCACCGCGUCCGGUCCUCGAGCGUAUGGGGCUUCGUCACCCGCUCUUGUAGGCCCGGCCGGCGCUUGCCGACACAUCAAUCUUUUUUCCAGGUUGACCUCGGAUCAGGUAGGGAUACCCGCUGAACUUAAGCAUAUCAAUAAGCGGAGGA
rnacentral:misc_RNA from 1 species